ACAAUGAUACUCCUGUCUGGCCAUAAAGUCGAGCGUGAUCAAACCGUCGCAACAAGUGGGGGCAGCCGCCAGAGAACCUGGCGGGGGUGAGAUUCCCGUG
rnacentral:ncRNA from 1 species